rnacentral:misc_RNA from 1 species
CUUCAUCAUAUUCAAAUGCAAUAUAUAUAUAAAAAAUCACCACAGAAAAUGCAAUGCAAGUCAACAAAAACACAGGUUGGGGUGGAUCAUAAUAGUCACGUGACCUAGGGUUACAAAUUUUCAGAUCACUUUUGUUCACUGAUAAUUGAAACUAAUUCCUAAUCAUACAUUGAAUUUUAUUAGACUUAUUUGGUCAAGUUAAUGUUAAUGCUCUUGAAUUCAAUUAGGAUUUUAUAAAGCCUAUAUGUAGGCCUCCUUGGGCAAGUCUUAAGAUUACAGAAAUUGAUGAAUACAACUUGAAAUGAAAAAUUCAAAAUGAAAAGAAGAACUACUCUCCACUAGCAAGCAAAAUGCAGAAUUUUGGAAUAUAUGAAGUAGGUCUUUCUUUACGUUUUUGCACCUAAUGAUUAGAAGGGAUUCUUUGUAUGAUCUACAAUUUCAAAAGAAAAUUUAUCUUUCCCCUUAUCUCACAGCUUUGUCCUUGUUGUUUUUAUCUAAUAAGUUCACUUCGUUCAUUGUCGGUCUUUCUUCACCUUUUUAGGUCUAAUGAUUAGAAGUGUUUCUUUGUAUUAUCUACAAUUUCAAAAGAACAUUUGUCUUUCUCCCUCUCUGACAACCUUGUCAUUAUUGGUUUGUUCUAAUAACUUCAUUUGUUCACUGUGAUGCUUUAUCCAACUGCCUUAAAUGGUUUUGCAGUAAAAGGAGGUUUCAGGAGCAGCAGGCAGAAGAAUGGUGGAAAGAAAACAAAGAUAGGCUGCUGAGGAGGUACAGUCCGCCAAUAGCAAAUGCUGCUUCAGCUGGAUCAUCCUCUACUCCUGCUGAUUCAGCGUCCAGCAGUGCUGUAACAUCCAGUGCUCCAGCUGAAUCAUCCACUACUGCUGCUGAGGAUACAAGUGAGGCAGGACCAUCAGAAACGUAGUAUCAUAAUUUACUAAAAUUAGUCUCUUGGAAUAACAAUGUAGAAAGCGGAUGUAGGAUCAAGGAGCUGCCUUUUGACCCUUAAGUCAACUAUCUGCUAGUUUGUAAACAAACAAUAUUCUGCGUUCAAAAGAAAAAUUAGAGAUGAGGAUUCUGCUUGCGGAUAAGCCAGAAUGCUGCAUUACAUUGCAAGUGGAUAGACAGAUGUUGAUGAAGGUUCUUUUUUAUUAAUAUAUAUUGUGUGCUGCGAUGAGUUAAAACUGUGAUAGGUGUAGAGUAGAUAAACUUGUUAGGACCUUCCAUUUGUAAAGCUUUGAAUUUGUGACAAUGAAGCUUCCUGUAGUUAUAUCUUUUCUUUCUUAAUUUUUGUUUUUCUGUUGGAUCAAUAAAAAUACUAAAUUCCAA